CAUCUACGCACGAAACUUGCCCCGAGAUGUGUUCUCCCUGACUCCUUGCGAGCCCUGAAGGAACGUUGAAGACGACGCCGUCGAUAGGCCCGGUGUGUAAACGCAGCGAUGCGCUGAGCUAACCGGUCCUAAUGAACCGUGAGGAUUAACCUUUCAACUCC
rnacentral:rRNA from 1 species